UUUUUUUUUUUUUUUUUUGGACACGGCGUGAAGUCACUUGAUGUGGGAUCCCACCUUCUAGGCCAGGGUUGAACCUGGGCUGCAGUGGUGAAAGCAUUGAAUCCUAACUGCUAGACCACCAGAGAACUCUCUGAUUUUUAGUUUGAUUUGAGUAAGGGGAAAUUGAAAAAAAAAAAAAAAAGAAAGAAAGAAAAGAAAAAAACCCUGGUUCAUGGCUCAGCGUCUUGAUUUUUUCUGAUGUCACAAAAGGAUUUGACCUUACCCUUCAGUUGAAUCUCAUCCUGUAACCAUUUGCUUUUCACUGUCUCUUUAUGGUGUCUCCUCUGUCAUAAGGAUAUGAAAUACCCCUGAAUCUUUACAAUCAGUGAUCUUCCUUAACAUCUGGACUUCUUGGAUAUCUGCCUGGGACCACUCACCACUCACAAGACCAUGCACAAACACUCUUGUAGCCCUGCUCAGAGUUGACUGAUACUCAGAGCUAGAAACUCAUCCUGGGCUGGAGAGACGUGAGACCGGAGAGUCAGAUGAUGGCUCUAAUGGAAAAAUUAAUGACCUCUAGUACUUCUGUCUACAUCUUCUUUGUUUGGACAUUCUGGAAGUCUGUGCUUCCACACGGACAAAUGGAGCCGUGACUACAUAAUCAAAACAACUGGUGGAAAACUGGAAAAUUCAAUAAUUGUGUUUUGCCUAGACAAUCUCUAUGGCCAGUCUGAUUAAUUGUUUUUACUGUAUUGACUAUCUUCUUUUUGAAUAAUUGGUUUUUCCCACUACAAAAGGUAAUGUAUAUUCAUUAUGGGAAAUAUACACACUAUAUUAAAGUACAGCUGUGAGUAUUUUUUAAAUCCAGCUUUUCUAUACUAAUAUUUUUGAAUCUCUCUCUCUCUCUCUUUUUUUUUUUAAUUGGUCUUUUGUCUUUUUUCAGGGCCGCACCCAUGGCAUAUGGAGGUUCCCAGGUUAGGGGUCGAAUUGGAGCUACAGCUGCUGGCCCACACCACAGCCACAGCAAUGUGGGAUCCAAGCCACAUCUGUGACCUACACCACAGCUCACGGCAAUGCCAGAUCCUCAAACCACUGAGCAAGGCCAGGGAUUGACCAGCAACCUCAUAGUUACUAGUCGGGUUUGUUAACAACUGAGCCACUACAGGAACUCCCAAUGUUUUUGAAUAUCUCUUAAAAGUCUUUAAAAAUUUUCUUAUUUAUCUAUAUGUAUAUAUAUUUUUACAUAUACCCUCUAUCUAGUAUUUGUAAUGUUUCUCUUACCUAAAAAAAAAAUUGUGAUUAUUUUCCUAGAUUAUUAUUAAAUAUUAUUUUCCACCAUGAUAUAAUUAUUGAAUAGUACCAUAAUUGUCUUUAACCAGUCCCUUGUUGUUAGACAACUAAAUGGCUUCUAAUUUUCAAAGUUAUAAAUACAUAAAAUACUGAUGAACAAUUCUAAACAUAAUUUUUGUGCAGAUAUCAGAUAUUAGUAGUGAUUAUAAUCUGAAUGAAUUUUUGCUGAAUAUUACUGAUGAAUUGACAACUAAGUGCAUGUAAGAGCAGAAUUAAAUCUGUUGAAUGAUUACCUAUAUUUUUUUUUAGUCCAGUAGGACAAAAAUCCAGGAGUAUAAUGCUACCUUAAAAUCCUGUACUGGUGUAUUCAACAGCAUACUUUCACAUACUUAACAUACUUUGAUAGCAAUACUCUCAUCAACCCUCUGAGCUAGGAGCGAAGAAAGAGGACCAACACGUCCUGGUUCUGUGCUAGUCUUCUUGUUUAUUGUUUGUUUGUUUGUUCAUUUUUUGCUUUUUAGGGCCACACGAUGGAAGUCCCCAGGCUAGAGGUCAAAUUGGAGCUGCAGCUGCUGGCCUAUGCACCACAGUCACAGCAACACAGGAUCUGAGCCACAUCUGUGACCUACACCACAACUCACAAAAACGCCAUAUCCUUAACCCCCUGAGCAAGGCCAGGGAUCAAACCUGUAUCCUCAUGGAUACUAAUCAGGUUCAUUACUGCUAAACCACAAUGUAACUCCUGUGCUAGGCUUUGCGUAUGUUAUUUCAUGGUAUGAUUUAAAUAGGUGUCUUAGACUUGACUAACAUCUUACCAUUACUUAGGCUAUUCAAUGUAUAUGGCUUAGAGGCAAUUUGAAGGUAGGAGUAUUUGAAGCUCUGUCUUCUAUUUCAUGUAAGUCUAAAAGGAGAUGUAUCAUUAAUUCAGGCAGCGAAUUCGGGGAGGGAAUUCAGGGAGGGAAUCUCCCUGAGAGUUCUUGUUCUGGAAGUUAACUGCUUCUAAAGAAGAAUCAUAGAUAUUUAUUAGUUAGGUGGACCUUUCUUCAGAUUUCUACAAAGGAAUCAGAAUUUGUAUUUGGCCCAACAACUAAGCAUCUUGGAUUCUAUACAAGUCACUGUGUAUGCUCAUACCUUCUUGGCCAUAUUACCCAAAUCAAGAGUAACUUCUCCAUGUCAUGGCCCUUAACAAGAUGUGGUGGCAUGGGACUUUUGAAAGGUCUCCAGGGGUCCAGGGGAGCUGUGUUUCUAGAAGAGCAUGGAGAAUAGCAUAGUUACUAGAGGUCUCUUGAGUCUUAGUUGAAACACAAUUCAUUCAGAGGGAUACCAAGUCACGAGGCCUUUGUAAAUCUUUUCCUAAUUUGGUUCCCACCAUCCCAUUACUUCUGAUAAUGGCAAUUAUUUCUCAUUGCUGAAGUUACAACAUAACUUCCGUAGAAUCACUCUGGCCUUUUGCGAUUCUGCACUAUUUAGAGCCUAUAAUACAAGACAUUUCUCUCUGGUGUGAAAAUCAACUUACAGCAUAUCUGAACUCCUUUUGCAGAAGUCUAGAGGAGACUGUGAUGCUUUGCAGUCCUUUGUGGAGAGGGCUGCACAUGGAGACCAGCCAUGGACUUCUGGUAUGUGUGUCUAUAGAACAAAUUGUAUACUAGGACAUUAUCUGUGAGGAGAGACUGGACUGUGCAGGAACAUGGUUCAUUCUGGAGAAGACUGACUGUUUUAUUAAUUAAAAAGGUAAUCACUGGAUUGGGACAAAUGCCUAUUAUAAUUUGUCUAUGUACAUCCUAAAUCAGCAAUAGAAAAAUGCUGUAACAAUAGGGUAAGAGACUAUGUUCAACAAUACCUAAUUUUACACCUAGUAUUUCUAUUAACAUGGCAGACUUUUCAGUAGUGUUCACUGGUAUUUUGAGUGGGGGAGACCUUAAAUAGUUGCUUUUUUAAUACUUCAGAUCUAGGUUAUUGCAUAGACAAAGAAAUACUCACUAUUUUGAGCCCCUGAGAGCCCAAGACUUGCAAAGCAUAUAAAGUAGAAAGAUAGUUUAAGUGUCUCUUAAGUUUCUGCAUAAAUCUAAAUGGCUCUUUAAUAAUUAAAGCAACCCUAAUCUUUUGAGGCCAUCUACUGGAAUAAACAUUAGGAAACUUGACCCUUUCUAUGACAAGAGUCAGCUACACUCCAGUGUGAGAGAAUUGGGGAACCCAAGAGGAGGCCUUUGAUCUAGUACCACAAUGUACUCACUCUUUGACAUUCACUGAUAUAAGCAAUUGGGGCGCCAACAAGGUCCCUUGCUCAGAGAAGUGAAGAUAAGAACUGGGUAUAAAUAACCAGAGAAGUGAUGAAUCUUAACAAAUAAACAAGCAGAAACAUUCUUCAACUUAAGUCAUAGCUUUCAAUGAGCAAGUUCAUGCAGGAAGAAACAUGAUAAUGGUUAGAGAAUGAAUAUGUAAGACCAAAAAUAUCCCUUCAGAUUUAUAGGAUAAUAUUAUAUACAAUAUCUCAUCUCCAACAUCAAAUGAGUUCUGCUAGAAAAAAAUCACAUUGCCCAGUUGUUCCCUUUGGAAGUACCAGUUCAUUUACUUAAAAAAAAAUGUUAUUUUUGUAUCCCUUAGCUUGUCAGUGCAUCUCUGUGUGUACACCAGUGCCUCUAGUUGGUUUGUUUUACUCAUUUAACCUGGGAGUCUUAGAAUUCUAUUGAUUGCAUUUGUUGUCAAAUCAAAACCAAAACGAAGAAUCAGACCGACAAAAAACUGGCAUUGCUUCAAGGGAAAUUUGCUAUCAUAUCAGACCACUGAUUUGAAUGUAAUACAAGACUGUAUAGUUUUUACAUUAGGAUUAGUAAUUACAUGUGUGCAUUUUAAUUAAACCGACUGAUGUUCUCUCAGUGCCUAUUUGAGCCUGUAAAGCUAGGAAGCCCAAAUUUACUGCAUUCUCAAAGGAAGAAAAUAGCAUACCUCAGAAGCAUAUAUUGUAUUUUUGCUUGAUAUUUAUUACUGCCAGAAUUGCCAUCCUUGGUUAUGAAACCUGAGGUGAAUUGGGAUACAUUUCAGUCUGAGGAUAGUUUUAAUUUAGAACAAGUAAAAUGAAACCAUCUGAUGUGACACUGUUUAGAAACUAAUGCAAGGAGAGAUUAUAGAUUUGGAAAUUAAGUAAACUCAACAAAAAGGCAAAUAGCUGUUAGUAACCAGAAUAAUUCUCCUAAAUGGUGGUCUCUGAGUUGAUGACGUAAAUGAAUUUAUACGUAGGAUAUUAAAGCUCUCCUAUGCUAUAGAUGUACCAAGCAGCCCCAAAUCAAAAUGUAUUAAACCUUUAAAAACACUGCAUCCAUCAAUUUUCUAUCAAUUGAAACGCUUUAUAUGUUACAUAAAGGAAAGAGAAUGAAAGCAUGAGAACUGUUACAGGCUGAUAUUUUGUUAUACUUCUGUUAGAAAAGACAGAAGUCCUCAUCUCAGGGCCCCAUAUAAGAAAUGAGGAGGGACUGGAUGUCGUCACUCUCAUCACUUCAGAAAGGAAAUGAAAAGUGUCAUUUAGUGCCAGGUGAAAUGAGACCAGAAAGUACCUAUGUCAUCUUUGUCAGUGCUUUUACUGCUUUAACUACUUUAUAUAAUUCAAAGAAAGAAACCUCCCCAAAGAGAGAUGGCUGUAAAUGCAAUGUGAGAAAUACAUGAAUAAUAUCUAAUAUUAUCAAGACCAGAAAUUAAAAGAGCUUGUAGAAAAUCCUUUUUGUCUCAUCUUGGAGUUUUGAACUUUUCUCUCAAUGCUUAAAAAAAUGAGCAGAUGAAUUAAGGGAGGAUCUAGAAGGGAGAAGGGCCUCUCCUCUGAUCUUUAGCCAAGAAUGCUCCUUAAAUAACUCCCCAGCAAUCUGGAGAGGCACCAUUACAUCAUCAUCAUUUCACAAACAAGGAAACUGAGACCGAGAGAGAUCAGACAUCUCUUUAACUACCACCCUUCAGGAAGGUGGGUAGUGAAAUGAGAAACCUUGUCUGCCCACUCCAUUGAAUGAUUUUUCAAAUAGCAGGGUGAGAAUGACCAGAUAAUCAUGAAAGAUGUGAAAGUAAAGAAUGUAUAUUUGGUUGGUUAAAUAAAAUUGAUUAUUUGAAAACCAUAGGUAAAAGGACUUAAAUGUCACUGCUAUAGACCCCAACCCUCAAGAAGGGAAAAAGGAGGCACUCAUCUCUUUAAAGCAAAAAUGAGAUGUAUUUAGACUAGAGAGGAAACUCCUGGGGUUGUUUCUCUACCCUACAGUAAACUAAGGUUGUAACACCUCCUGAGAAUAAGGAUAUACAAUGAUAAAUUCCUGUCAGAAUUGCCCAAAUAAAUAUGAAGUUACUUAGUUUUCUGGAUUUGGACUUGUUUGGGUUCCAAGAGUCAAAUUCUUUUGGACCUCACAAACACUUGAGGCUUUGGUAAGCCAUGACCUUUUAACAUUGAUGCAAACAAAAAACCAGCACAUUUUAGGAGUCUUUUUUUCAGUCAACCUUAGGAAUAUUUUUGGAGCCAGAUGACAUAAUUACACUCAUUUUGUAGUCAACCACACCCCAUGAUUGAACAACAGAAACGGUAUUCGUCAUAUCGCAAAUCCUCUGUACAGCCCAAAGUAGUUUCAAAUUAUUUAUAUAUAGUAAAAAUUUGGAAAACUUUCAAAGGACAAAUAUCCCCAAGUCUAGGAAGGUUAUCUAAAACAGAGCUCCAAUAAUCAGAGAGCAAUGUCAGUGUAAUCUGAAUAGUGGCCUCCAAGGUGACUACUUUAAGUGACUUCCCUCAUUUGGAUAUGUGGGCCCAGAAAUGUUUAUGCAAUUAAUUUAUGAAUUCCUCUCAUAGGGAAGUUUCUUCAAAUAAGAUAAUGGCUUAUGUGUCAUUGAUUUCAAUAGUAAUUUCACACUUUCAUUGUGUAUUAUUCACUACUGUGAUUUUUUUUUUUUCUAAUUGAGAUACAUCUUACAGUAAAGGACAUAAAUAUCAUGCGAAUGGCCUGAAGAAUUUUAACACUUAUAUUCUUCUGUGUAAUGAACACUAAGAUCAAGAAGUAGAAUGUUUCAAACAUUCCACAAGGCUCCCCAGGUCCCCUACCAGUCAGCAGCACCCCUGUUCCAGGUGACUACUAAUCUCACCUCUGAUCAUAGUAGAUUAGUUUAGAUUUCUUUUGAAUUUCAUACAAACGGAAUCAUAGAAUUGUACCCUUUUGCAUCUGACUUCUUUCACUUAAUGUCAUGCGUAUGAGACACACCCAUAUUCUUGUGUGUAACAGUAUUUUCUUCUUUUUGUUGCUCUGAAUAUUCUAUUAUGUGGUUAGACCACAAUUCAUCGACCC
rnacentral:lncRNA from 1 species